GCGGCGGAAGGGGUGGAAGCGGAGGUUCUCGACCUGCGAUGCCUGGUCCCGUUGGACCGGGAGGCGCUCUUCGAAUCCGUCCGCCGCACCA
rnacentral:tRNA from 1 species